rnacentral:rRNA from 1 species
UACGUAGGGGGCAAGCGUUGUCCGGAAUCAUUGGGCGUAAAGAGCGUGUAGGCGGCCCGAUAAGUCCGCUGUGAAAGUCCAGGGCUCAACCCUGGAAUGCCGGUGGAUACUGUCGGGCUCGAAUCCGGAAGAGGUGAGUGGAAUUCCUGGUGUAGCGGUGAAAUGCGCAGAUAUCAGGAGGAACACCAAUGGCGAAGGCAGCUCACUGGGACGGUAUUGACGCUGAGACGCGAAAGCGUUGGGAGCAAACAGG